rnacentral:rRNA from 1 species
CCACGCCGUAAACGAUGUCUACUUGGAGGUUGUGGCCUUGAGCCGUGGCUUUCGGAGCUAACGCGUUAAGUAGACCGCCUGGGGAGUACGGUCGCAAGAUUAAAACUCAAAUGAAUUGACGGGGGCCCGCACAAGCGGUGGAGCAUGUGGUUUAAUUCGAUGCAACGCGAAGAACCUUACCUACUCUUGACAUCCAGAGAACUUUCCAGAGAUGGAUUGGUGCCUUCGGGAACUCUGAGACAGGUGCUGCAUGGCUGUCGUCAGCUCGUGUUGUGAAAUGUUGGGUUAAGUCCCGCAACGAGCGCAACCCUUAUCCUUGUUUGCCAGCACUUCGGGUGGGAACUCCAGGGAGACUGCCGGUGAUAAACCGGAGGAAGGUGGGGACGACGUCAAGUCAUCAUGGCCCUUACGAGUAGGGCUACACACGUGCUACAAUGGCGCAUACAGAGGGCGGCCAACUUGCGAGAGUGAGCGAAUCCCAAAAAGUGCGUCGUAGUCCGGAUCGGAGUCUGCAACUCGACUCCGUGAAGUCGGAAUCGCUAGUAAUCGUGGAUCAGAAUGCCACGGUGAAUACGUUCCCGGGCCUUGUACACACCGCCCGUCACACCAUGGGAGUGGGCUGCAAAAGAAGUAGGUAGUUUAACCUUCGGGAGGACGCUUACCACUUUGUGGUUCAUGACUGGGGUGAAGUCGUAACAAGGUAGCGCUAGGGGAACCUGGCGCUG